ACAUCGGAUCGCAGGGCUCCCAAAAUGGCGAGUGAGGCUGCGGGGACUCGCUGAGCAGCGGAGGGGGAGCGUGCAGAGCCGCUGCGGCCCUCACAGUCCGGAGCCCGGCCGUGCCGUGCCGUAGGGAACAUGCACUUUUCCAUUCCCGAAACCGAGUCCCGCAGCGGGGACAGCGGCGGCUCCGCCUACGUGGCCUAUAACAUUCACGUGAAUGGAGUCCUGCACUGUCGGGUGCGCUACAGCCAGCUCCUGGGGCUGCACGAGCAGGUGGGACUAGCACCCCUGCCUUGAGACAGCUUCAAGCCCUUCCCUACACGUGGACAUCAGUGUCUCCCUUUACCCGCUCUUCUUGUUCCCGUAGGCUGUAGUUCCCCUUUAAUCACUACCACAGGGUAGGGCCCUGGUUUAUCUUGUCUGACAUUUCCGGGAACUCCCUAAGAAGCUUAAUGUCCGCGCAACAAGUGCUCCUUCCUGUUCUUAUAUUCUGGUUUUCUGUCCAGUCUUACUGCUCUAGUAGCCUUUACCCUUGCAUGGACAAACCAACCCCUCCCCCCACUACCUCCACCCA
rnacentral:sRNA from 1 species